rfam:Oryza sativa (indica cultivar-group) chromosome 6, whole genome shotgun sequence.
AAAAAGACAAAGCCUGGUUUUCGUGUCCAACGUUUAACCGUCCAUCUUAUUUGAAAAAAUUAUGAAAAAAAUUAAAAAGACAAGUCACGCAUAAAAUAUUAAUCACGUUUUAUCAUCUAACAAUAAUAGAAAUACAAAUUAUAAAAGAAUUUUAUAUAAGAUGGACAAUCAAAGUUGAAUACGAAAAUCCUGUUUGCUUUUUUU